CUAUUAAAUGAAGAAAAUUGUGCCAAAUAUGUUAAGUGGUAAACAUGAGGGGCUAGAUGGAUUAGAAUGAAAGUGAGGGAUUAAAAAGGGGUUAAACCAAAAACACACACCCUGGUGCGUGUUUUGGAUCGAUCAGAGCAGGGGAAAAACAAGGGUUAACCCUUGUUCUUGCAAGUUCAUCAAAUCAUCAAGGAAAUGCGAUGUUAAAUGAUUGCAUGUCUUCAAAUUUUCAAGUAGCUCAACAUACCCAGUAGAGUGGAAUCAUGUCGAGACGGAAUCAAGCACGGAAGACUACGGGUCAAGAAGUGGCGAGGAAGCAAAUAUGAACACGGAUGCAUGAGGUUGUACGGAUAACGGGCGAUUAUCACAAGGAUUAGAGAUCGAAGACCGAGUCACAAGAUAGAUUGUACGGGAAUAAUUGAGUAUGUACUAUUAGUAAACAGGACUUAUGCUUUAUCUUUGUAAAAGAUACAUAAUAAAACGAACUUUCAAGUAUGUCAAGACGUUUGUAAUGAA